rnacentral:rRNA from 1 species
CGGCGGGUAGGGUCUCCGUGACCCUCCCGGCCUCCCGCCCCCGGGCGGGUCGGCGCCCGCCGGAGGAUAACCAAACUCUGAUUUAACGACGUUUCUUCUGAGUGGUACAAGCAAAUAAUCAAAACUUUUAACAACGGAUCUCUUGGUUCUGGCAUCGAUGAAGAACGCAGCGAAAUGCGAUAAGUAAUGUGAAUUGCAGAAUUCAGUGAAUCAUCGAAUCUUUGAACGCACAUUGCGCCCGCCAGCAUUCUGGCGGGCAUGCCUGUUCGAGCGUCAUUUCAACCCUCAAGCUCUGCUUGGUGUUGGGGCCCUACAGCUGAUGUAGGCCCUCAAAGGUAGUGGCGGACCCUCCCGGAGCCUCCUUUGCGUAGUAACUUUACGUCUCGCACUGGGAUCCGGAGGGACUCUUGCCGUAAAACCCCCAAUUUUCCAAAGGUUGACCUCGGAUCAGGUAGGAAUACCCGCUGAACUUAAGCAUAUCAAUAAGCGGAGGAAAAGAAACCAACAGGGAUUGCCUCAGUAACGGCGAGUGAAGCGGCAACAGCUCAAAUUUGAAAUCUGGCCCUAGGCCCGAGUUGUAAUUUGCAGAGGAUGCUUUUGGUGCGGUGCCUUCCAAGUUCCCUAGAACGGGACGCCAGAGAGGGUGAGAGCCCCGUACAGUUGGACACCAAGCCUUUGUAAAGCUCCUUCGACGAGUCGAGUAGUUUGGGAAUGCUGCUCAAAAUGGGAGGUAUAUUUCUUCUAAAGCUAAAUACCGGCCAGAGACCGAUAGCGCACAAGUAGAGUGAUCGAAAGAUGAAAAGCACUUUGAAAAGAGGGUUAAACAGCACGUGAAAUUGUUAAAAGGGAAGCGCUUGUGACCAGACUUGCGUCCGGUGAAUCACCCAGCUCUCGCGGCUGGGGCACUUCGCCGGCUCAGGCCAGCAUCAGCUCGCUGUCGGGGACAAAAGCUUCAGGAACGUAGCUCUCUUCGGGGAGUGUUAUAGCCUGUUGCAUAAUACCCUUCGGCGGGCUGA